UUUUGUGUUUUAACAGGAGCAGGAACAUUUGUGAGUUGACAAGAAGCAAACCACACCCAUUUAUGUGUGUGUCAUGUUACAUCUGGCAAGAACGCUACUACAGUGAAAGGAAGUGCUGAAGGAAAGCUUGUUCUAUGGUGCAGUACUUUGCGUAGGUCUGUGUUUAGUAGGGUGCAGCCUGUUGCUGCAGCUCCUGCCCGGACUUUGUUUACUCCGCCCAUUAGGUGUGUUGCAGUAGUCCGCACACAGUCGCGACUGACUGUCCUCGCCAGUGUGGUGCCUGUUUGCCUGUUUGCUUCAACAUAUCAUUGUUAGUACAUAUGAUAUUGAGCGUCUUUGGCUGGCUGCUGAUUCCUUUCAGUUCAGCCGUUUUCCUGGUGAGUUGUAAGCAUGGGCUACCUGAUGAAUGGCGUGGUCCCCGCGUGUUUGGUAUGUAAUUAUCAUGGCGAUCUGAUGGGUGCUGCAGGUCCAGAGUAGGUGAGCUAGCUGUCUGGGGUGGUGGUUGUUUUCACUGCCUGGAUUGUUGUGACCUUUGCAUUUGAUUUUUGAAUGGAAGUGUGUGUGGGUGAUUAAUUUUUUCUGGUAUCCUCCAGCCCUGGGCUAGCUUGUUCUGCUACUGGUAAACCUGAGCCCUAGUAAAUUUGUUUAAGUAAUAGGUCUUUCUUCUUCGGGUUGAUGUUUUUAUUCUGGCAGCAGAAACUGUGCGUACACUGAUUGUGGUUGUGUAAGUGGUUUGAAUGUUUUGUAUUUUAUCUAGUUUUAAAAGGUUUAUUGUUGCUUUAAUAAAGAUGUAUUUUGUUACUUCA